UACGGGGGGGGGUAAGCGUUGUUCGGAAUUACUGGGCGUAAAGGGCUCGUAGGCGGCCAACUAAGUCAGACGUGAAAUCCCUCAGCUUAACUGGGGAACUGCGUCUGAUACUGGAUGGCUUGGAUCCGGGAGAGGGAUGCGGAAUUCCAGGUGUAGCGGUGAAAUGCGUAGAUAUCUGGAGGAACACCGGUGGCGAAGGCGGCAUCCUGGACCGGUAUUGACGCUGAGGAGCGAAAAGCCAGGGGAGCAAACGGG
rnacentral:rRNA from 1 species